GAUGAACGCUGUCUACAUGCUUAACACAUGCAAGUCGAGCGGAAACGUCGGGGUAGCUUGCUUCCCCGGGCGUCGACCGGCGCACGGGUGAGUAACGCGUAUCCAACCUGCCUCUGACUGAGGGUUAACCCGUCGAAAGUCGGCCUAAUACCUCAUGGCAUCUUCUGCUGGCAUCCAACCACGUUUAAAGAUUUCAUCGGUCAGGGAUGGGGAUGCGUCUGAUUAGCUUGUUGUCGGGGUAACGGCCCACCAACGCUACGAUCAGUAGGGGUUCUGAGAGGAAGGUGCCCCAGAGUGGAACUGCGGCAAGGUCCAAACUGCUACGGGAGGCAGCAGUGAGGGAGAUUGGGCAGUGGGCGGGAGCCUGAACGAGGCAAGUAGCGUGCAGGAGGACGGCGCUUGGGGUGGUAAACUGCUUUUAUGGGAGGCUAAUGUGAGGGGGGUAUCCGUCAUUGAAGGUACCGAAUGAAUAAGGACCGGCUAAUUCCGUG
rnacentral:rRNA from 1 species